CCUACGGGAGGCAGCAGUCGGGAAUUUUGGGCAAUGGGCGAAAGCCUGACCCAGCAACGCCGCGUGAAGGAUGAAAUCCCUCGGGAUGUAAACUUCGCAAGAACGGGAAGAAUAAGCCGGUGUUAACACCACCGGCGAUGACGGUACUGUUUGUAAGCUCCGGCUAACUCCGUGCCAGCAGCCGCGGUAAUACGGGGGGAGCAAGCGUUGUUCGGAUUUACUGGGCGUAAAGGGCGCGUAGGCGGCCACCGCAAGUCGACUGUGAAAUCUCCGGGCUUAACCCGGAAAGGUCAGCCGAUACUGCGGGGCUAGAGUGCAGAAGGGGCAACUGGAAUUCUCGGUGUAGCGGUGAAAUGCGUAGAUAUCGAGAGGAACACCUGCGGCGAAGGCGGGUUGCUGGGCUGACACUGACGCUGAGGCGCGAAAGCUAGGGGAGCGAACGGGAUUAGAUACCCCGGUAGUCCUAGCCUUAAACGAUGAAUGCUUGGUGUCUGGGGUUUUAUAGUCCCCGGGUGCCAUCGCUAACGCUUUAAGCAUUCCGCCUGGGGAGUACGGUCGCAAGACUGAAACUCAAAGGAAUUGACGG
rnacentral:rRNA from 1 species